UGGGGGUUCUGGAAGGAACCAUUCAAUCAAAGGAAGAGUUCCGGUGUUAGAAGUCUAAAAGUGUAAUGAACUUCUCAGGAAGCAUCUAAUUUCCCAAAGCCAUAUCGCCUUAAGCUAACCUGAGUUUGCUGAAUAGACAUCGCACCUGCCCUAUGAGGAAUAAAAUGUAAGAGUAUGAUUAUGACUGGUUAGAACUUCACCACAAGACUGUGAGCCCAUAGUCACCAGCCAAUGGUGAACUAGGAGAGGGAUGGGGUGAGGGGUAUUGCCUUGGAGACCAUAUAAACAACUGUGUAUCUGCUGCUCAGAUGUACUGGUCAUCCUUGGUCAUGUGCCCUUUCUCAUGAGAAAGAAUAAACUUGCCUCUGCUCACCCAGGCAGUUUCUGUUGUCUUCAAGUCAAUCCAUUUCAUACAACUACUACACAUACCCAUUUCUUUUAUGAAUUCAUGACAUUCAGAGUGAGGUGCAGCAAAAAGACCUAUAUAUCAGAGACAAAACAAAGCAAAAAAUAGACCAAGAUAUGCAGAUGCACUAACAUAACAACUGGAUAGAGGAUAGAGCAAAAAUUGAUACUGUAAAUUUCUACUUUUCAUGAGGAAUACAAGAAGAAUGUAAAAGAAACAAAACAAAAAUAUCGAAUUCAGAACAGAGCAGAAAUAACUUCAAACUGGGUGAAAGACAAAAUACUGAAAAUUUCUUAUAAAAGAUCACCACAAAAGAAUAUUACUGAAGCUAAGGGAUUGUUAGUGUGGGGAGAUUUCUAAAAACAAGCUUAUCUGGGCCAGGAAAUAUAAAAAGAUUUGUGGGAUACACAAAGAAAGAAAACAAAAUUAACACCUUAAGUAAAUUCGAGUACCUUGGUAAUGGUUGUUAUUGUGUGUUCUUUGUUUUCCAAAGAGAAACAACUCAUUAUGUGAUCCUGACUUACAUGUAAAUUGGAUUUAAGUGAGGCAGAAUUGUGCAAAGUCAUCAGCCUCACUUUCUCUUUCAAAGUCAUCAAAGUCCAGUGGGAAGACAAAAAUAAGGAUGGUGGCUUGAGAUAGAGUGAAUGACCUUGACAGCUUCAGUGACUGAGGGUGCUCUAAGCACAUCACAAUACCUGCUUUAGUUGUCUUCAUAGCCACCAGAACAAAUUGUUUGUUCUCCUCUGCCCAAUCUGCCAGAGGAAAUCCUCACAUGCUUGAGGUAGACCACCCUACUAACUCACUGACAAGUUCCAAGUCUGUCAGUUAACCUCACACUAGGAUUUCAUCUGCUGAGAUGGUUUUGCGGAGUUGGGGAUCCUGUGCAUGAUAGUUUCUGGAGCCAUAGGAAUGAAUUAGGAGAGGAAAGAAAAAUUGAAGAUGUUAUAAAAACAAAAGAUCACUAAUUUAAAAAAACAACAAAAAUAACAUAAUUAUCUCAAUAGACACAUAAAAAUCUUUUGACAAAAUAUAACACUCACUCUUCUUACAAAUACUGGAAAGCCUAAGUAUAGAUAUAGUGUUCCUUAAAAUGAUUAGUGUCUAUCUAAAACCAUUAGCAAAUAUUAUCUGUAAUGGGAUUAAGCUAGAAGCCAUCCAAAUAAAAUCUGGGGUGAAGAAAGGGUGUCCAUUAUCGACAUGAUUUUUCAAUAUUGUACUAGAAAUGCUAGUGAUAGCAAUUAGACAAGAAAUGAAAAUGGAAGGAAUUAGAAUAGGAAACAUGGAAAUAAAACUAUCACUCUUUUCAGAUGAUAUGAUGGUAAUACUUGGAUAAUCCUAGAGGAUAAACCAAAAAACUAGUUGAAAUAAACAACUUCAGUAAAGUUUCAAGUUAUGAAAUAAACCGAAAUAAAUUAUCAACAUGGCUAUAUAUUAUCAACAAAGUGUACCAGGAAAAGAUAGAAAGAGAAAUUCUAUUUAAAAUAACUGCAGAUAAA